rnacentral:rRNA from 1 species
GACGAACGCUGGCGGCGUGCUUAACGCAUGCAAGUCGAACGGUAAGGCCCUUCGGGGUACACGAGUGGCGAACGGGUGAGUAACACGUGGGUGAGCUGCCCUGCACUUCGGGAUAAGCCUGGGAAACUGGGGCUAAUACCGGAUAGGACCACUGCCUGCAGGGGUGGGGAUGUGAAGCUGUUGCGGUGUGGGAUGGGCCCGCGGCCUAUCAGCUUGUUGGUGGGGUGAUGGCGUACCAAGGCGACGACGGGUAGCCGGCCUGGGAGGGUGACCGGCCACACUGGGACUGAGAUACGGCCCAGACUCCUACGGGAGGCAGCAGUGGGGAAUAUUGCACAAUGGGCGCAAGCCUGAUGCAGCGACGCCGCGUGAGGGAUGACGGCCUUCGGGUUGUAAACCUCUUUCAGCACCGACGAAGCGCAAGUGACGGUAGGUGCAGAAGAAGGACCGGCCAACUACGUGCCAGCAGCCGCGGUAA